rnacentral:rRNA from 1 species
UACGGAGGAUCCGAGCGUUAUCCGGAUUUAUUGGGUUUAAAGGGUGCGUAGGCGGUUUGAUAAGUUAGAGGUGAAAUGUCGGGGCUCAACCCCGAAACUGCCUCUAAUACUGUUGGACUAGAGAAUAGUUGCGGUAGGCGGAAUGUAUGGUGUAGCGGUGAAAUGCUUAGAGAUCAUACAGAACACCGAUUGCGAAAGCAGCUUACCAAACUAUAUCUGACGUUGAGGCACGAAAGCGUGGGUAGCAAACAGG